ensembl:rRNA 5S_rRNA 5S ribosomal RNA
GUCUAUGGCCAUACCAUGCUGAAUGCUCCUGAUCCCAUCUGAUGUCAGAAGCUAAGUAGGGUUGGGCCUGGUUAAUACUUGGAUGGGAGACUGUAUGGGAAUACUGGGUGCUGUAGGCU